rnacentral:rRNA from 1 species
UCGGGUCAUAUGAGUGAGUGGCGAACGGGUGAGUAACACGUGAGAAACCUGCCCCGAAGACUGGAAUAACCCGGGGAAACUCGGGCUAAUACCGGAUACCCCCAAUUGAUCGCAUGGUCGAUUGAGGAAAUGCUCCGGCGCUUCGGGAGGGUCUCGCGGCCUAUCAGCUAGUUGGUGAGGUAACGGCUCACCAAGGCAACGACGGGUAGCUGGUCUGAGAGGACGAUCAGCCACACUGGGACUGAGACACGGCCCAGACUCCUACGGGAGGCAGCAGCAGGGAAUCUUGCGCAAUGGGCGAAAGCCUGACGCAGCCACGCCGCGUGAGGGAUGAAGGCUCUAGGGUCGUAAACCUCUUUCAGCAGGGACGAAAAUGACGGUACCUGCAGAAGAAGCUCCGGCCAACUACGUGCCAGCAGCCGCGGUAACACGUAGGGGGCGAGCGUUGUCCGGAUUUAUUGGGCGUAAAGAGCUCGUAGGCUGUUCAGUAAGUCAGGUGUGAAAACUCGAGGCUCAACCUCGAGACGCCACCUGAUACUGCUGUGACUAGAGUCCGGUAGGGGAGUGUGGAAUUCCUGGUGUAGCGGUGAAAUGCGCAGAUAUCAGGAGGAACACCAGCAGCGAAGGCGGCACUCUGGGCCGGUACUGA